rnacentral:rRNA from 1 species
AUUGAACGCUGGCGGCAUGCCUUACACAUGCAAGUCGAACGGCAGCACGGGUGCUUGCACCUGGUGGCGAGUGGCGAACGGGUGAGUAAUAUAUCGGAACGUACCUUAUUGUGGGGGAUAACGCAGCGAAAGCUGUGCUAAUACCGCAUAAUCCCUAAGGGGGAAAGCGGGGGACCGUAAGGCCUCGCGCAAUUAGAGCGGCCGAUACCUGAUUAGCUAGUUGGUGAGGUAAAGGCUCACCAAGGCAACGAUCAGUAGCUGGUCUGAGAGGACGAUCAGCCACACUGGGACUGAGACACGGCCCAGACUCCUACGGGAGGCAGCAGUGGGGAAUUUUGGACAAUGGGGGCAACCCUGAUCCAGCAAUGCCGCGUGAGUGAAGAAGGCUUUCGGGUUGUAAAGCUCUUUUGUCAGGGAAGAGACAGCAGCUCUAACACAGUAUGCGAAUGACGGUACCUGAAGAAUAAGCACCGGCUAACUACGUGCCAGCCGCCGCCGUAA